rnacentral:RNase_P_RNA from 1 species
UCAGUCGGCAAGAUGAUUGCUUCGUUUCGCGAAGAGGAAAGUCCGGACAGCAUAGAGCAGAACGGUUGCUAACGGCAACCGAAGGUGACUUUAGGGAAAGUGCCACAGAAACAAAACCGCCUCGUAAGAGGUAAGGAUGAAAAGAGUGAGGUAAGAGCUCACAGUCGACGUUGGUGACAACGCCGAGAGGUAAACCCCGUUCGCUGCAAGGUUGCUGGAACAUCCCGUAAGGGCUGCUGCUCGCAGGUUCCGGUGUACGUACCGCUUGAGGCCUAUGGCAACAUGGGUCCCAGAUAGAUGAUCAUUGGGCCAUUUGGCUUACAGAAUCCGGCUUACUAACCGUCUGACAUA